rnacentral:antisense_RNA from 1 species
CUUGAUGCUGCCGAGCCAGAGGGGUUGUUCGCGGUUCUGGCCGUAGGUGGCGAGCAGUGCUUGGGCCUC